UAAACAGAACUUUAAGCAAAAUACCACAUGACCACCUAUCUGCUAAAAGACCACAAUAUUCUAUCAAUUGAACUAUUAGUACGUCGUUUUUGAAAUAGGAUAGAGCUCGUCUUGCUACACAAUUUAUACACAUAAGACUUACCAUUUUCAUGAAAUGCUUCUGGUGCUAGAUAUGCCAAACUUCCAACAGCACCCGAUACGAAACGAAUGGAUUCG